rnacentral:tRNA from 1 species
GCCCAGGUGGCGGAACCGGUAUACGCAGCGGACUUAAAAUCCGUGGCCGAAAGGCCUGUGGGUUCGACUCCCACCCUGGGCA